UGCGUAGGGUGCAAGCGUUGUCCGGAAUUAUUGGGCGUAAAGAGCUCGUAGGCGGUCUGUCGCGUCGGCUGUGAAAACCCGAGGCUCAACCUCGGGCCUGCAGUCGAUACGGGCAAACUAGAGUACUGCAGGGGAGACUGGAAUUCCUGGUGUAGCGGUGAAAUGCGCAGAUAUCAGGAGGAACACCGAUGGCGAAGGCAGGUCUCUGGGCAUUAACUGACGCUGAGGAGCGAAAGCAUGGGGAGCGAACAGG
rnacentral:rRNA from 1 species